rnacentral:rRNA from 1 species
GAUGAACGCUAGCGGCAGGCCUAACACAUGCAAGUCGAGGGGCAGCACAGAAACAGCAAUGUUUUGGUGGCGACCGGCGGACGGGUGCGUAACGCGUAUGCAACCUACCUUUAACAGGGGGAUAACGGAGAGAAAUUUCCACUAAUACCCCAUAACAUCGAUCAAGGCAUCUUGAUUGGUUGAAAACUCCGGUGGUUAAAGAUGGGCGUGCGUUGUAUUAGGUAGUUGGUGAGGUAAUGCCUCACCAAGCGUACGUUACAUAGGGGGACUGGGAGGUUACCCCCCCAAGCUGUUACUACGACACGGACCAGACUCCUACGGGAGGCAGGAGUGAGGAAUAUUGGUCAAUGGGGGCAACCCUGAACAAGCCAUGCCGCGUGCAGGAAGACGGCUCUAUGAGUUGUAAACUGCUUUUAAACAGGGAUAAAGCACAGUAUGUAUACUGUGUUGAAGGUACUGUAAGAAUAAGGAUCGGCUAACUCCGUGCCAGCAGCCGCGGUAA